rnacentral:misc_RNA from 1 species
GAUAGUGUGCGAUCGAGUGAGUGUGUUUCUUCAACCGCUUCUUUGUUUACUUCUUCUACUGUUUCUCUGCGGUGCGUGUGCGCUUCUUUCCGUGCGUUAAUGCCCCCAAAACGGCCGCAGGCUCUAGAGAAGCUUCAUGUUGCACCUCACGAUAAGGCGGUAUCCAUCACGGAUACCAUGACGCUAGUGGUGAAAGGUGAGGGCGGAGUCGAAAUGCGCGUGAAGCAGACGGGCAUAGCCCAGGGUCCUGGCUCAUCGUCGGCUAGCGGCCAACCAAAAUCAGAUGCUGUCAUGAACAAGAUAAAAUUUGAGGAUUUACGGAUCGGCUCAGAGCUGGGAAAAGGCUCGCAAGGAAAAGUUCGUGUUGCACAGCACAAAAUCACGGGCGAAAAGUACGCGAUGAAGUACAUUGCUUUUGACGGAGACUCAGAUGACAUGCGCUCUGCCUUGGAAGCGGAGCUUCGUCAGGUGGCUGCGGUGAAGCACCACAACAUUGUCUCCUCCUAUGAGGCGUUUUUCCGCGACGGCCGGCUGUACGUUGUCCUUGAGUACAUGGACUGCGGAACCAUGAACAAUCUUAUCGACAGACAUCCGGAGGGUUUUAGCGAGGAUAUGCUUGCCUACAUUGCACGUGAGCUGUUCAAGGGUCUCGAGUUCCUGCAUCAUCUAAACAUGAUUCACCGUGAUAUCAAACCUGCUAACGUCCUGGCUAACACGAAAGGGGAAAUCAAGAUCUCGGAUUUCGGCGUAGCUAAAACACUUUCCGGUGGCGAUCUUCAAACUCUUUCUGCACAAGGUUCGGUGCCGUACAUGAGCCCAGAGAGAAUACAGUCGAAGCCGUACUCGUUCAACAGUGACAUCUGGAGCGCAGGGCUGACAAUUGCGGAGUGUGCGUUUCGAGAGUACCCAUUUGCCUCAUUGAAGCCAAAAGUAUUUGAGCUGUGCCAGGCAAUAGCUUCGGGGACAGCAAAGAUCAACUGGGAUGAUCGGGAAACCAAAUUUAGCGACGAGUUCAAGGAGUUUAUUGAGCUUUGUCUACGCCCGGAGGCCACACGCCCAAGCGCGACGGAAAUGCUGAGCCACUCACUUAUUCAAAAGGCGAGUAAUGUGAACCCUCUGGAGGCUGGCAGAUGGAUGUCCCCAAAGAAGUGAAUGAGUUCAUUGUAAAUAUGACGUUUGGUGCACUUGUGGAUGCGUACACGUUGCUGACGUGUGUGGGUGCGUGGGUGUUUGUUUUAAGCGGUUGAAACAAUGAGCUUUCCUAG